rnacentral:lncRNA from 1 species
AAAAUUUACAAGUUUUGAGUUUGUCAAAAACUGGGCGACCUUUUUCGAUUUUGCAGAUUCCGUCCGAAUUUUUAAUAAAUUGACCAAAAUACUCUAAUACCUUUUUCUCUCUCUUUUUUUUUCUCACAUUCUUUUUUUCUUGUCGAAAAAGACGACGGAGGCGAAGGCGGAAACGACCCCGAUCGUCUCUGCACCUCACGCCCUCACCCUCUCCCGCGCACCCCUCGCCCUACUCGCCUCCGACAUCGCCUUUUUUUUUUCUUCUCUCCAACCCUUCUCUACCACCUUCGCGGCCCUCUGUAACGAUAACGAGGACGAUAACGCUUCCUCUUGCUCCGGCUUCGCUCUCCACCUCCACUGCAACGAAUUUUCUAUCCGCCAAAUAAACCUGCCGUCCCCACUGCCGCCACUGGCGACGAAGA